GGCCCCAUCGUCUAGCGGUUAGGACGUGGCCCUCUCAAGGCCAAGGCAGGGGUUCGAUUCCCCUUGGGGCUA
rnacentral:tRNA from 1 species